rnacentral:tRNA from 1 species
AGGCCCGUAGCUCAAUGGCGGAGCACCAAGCUUAUAUCUUGGGGGUUGCAGGUUCGAGUCCUGCCGGGCCUACCA